AGGUAUAAGUGGGGGAUGUGAGGGCAAUCACCCCAUUGAUUGCCAAGGUUGAUUCGGCUGAUCUAGCUGGCAAGACAGGUGUCCCUUUCCUCCUUCACUGCUCCACGUGUAUCCCUCCCCAGGCUGCAUGCUGGGUCGAAGACCUUCACUGAUAGAGGAUGACCAUUUUUUGGUCAAGGGUAUAUGAGUGUCUGAGCUCCCCCUGCUAGAACAUCCAAACAAGUUCUCAAGGUCCCUUUGGAGGAGAAUGUAGGGUAAUCAAGCUUCCAGGACUCCAGACAUAUCCAAACAAGGAGCUGAAUGUGACAGUCUGCCUUUU
rfam:Felis catus isolate Cinnamon breed Abyssinian chromosome B3, whole genome shotgun sequence.